rnacentral:rRNA from 1 species
AGCAGCCGCGGUAAUUCCAGCUCCAAUAGCGUAUAUUAAAGUUGUUGCAGUUAAAAAGCUCGUAGUUGAAUUUCGGGAUCAAUUAAUCGGUCGUGCCUCUGGUACGCACUGGUUUUAUUGGUUUCUCCCUUCUGACGAACCAGGAUGUCAUUAAUUUGGUGUCUUGGAGAAUCAGGACUGUUACUUUGAAAAGAUUAGAGUGUUUAAAGCAGGCUAACGCUUGAAUACAUUAGCAUGGAAUAAUGAAAUAGGACGUUUGAUCCUAUUUUGUUGGUUUCUAGGAUCGACGUAAUGAUUAAUAGGGAUAGUUGGGGGCAUUAGUAUUCAAUUGUCAGAGGUGAAAUUCUUGGAUUUAUUGAAGACUAACUACUGCGAAAGCAUUUGCCAAGGAUGUUUUCAUUAAUCAAGAACGAAAGUUAGGGGAUCGAAGACGAUCAGAUACCGUCGUAGUCUUAACCAUAAACUAUGC